rnacentral:rRNA from 1 species
CGGUCCAGACUCCUACGGGAGGCAGCAGUAGGGAAUCUUCCACAAUGGGCGAAAGCUGAUGGAGCAACGCCGCGUGGGUGAAGAAGGUCUUCGGAUCGUAAAACCCUGUUGUUAGAGAAGAAAGUGCGUGAGAGUAACUGUUCACGUUUCGACGGUAUCUAACCAGAAAGCCACGGCUAACUACGUGCCAGCAGCCGCGGUAA